GACGAACCGAGCGAACGUUGUUCGGAAUCACUGGGCUUAAAGGGCGCGUAGGCGGGUGCUCAAGUCCGUGGUGAAAUCCUCCGGCUCAACCGGAGAACUGCCUCGGAUACUGGGCGUCUCGAGUGUGGUAGGGGUAUGCGGAACUAUCGGUGGAGCGGUGAAAUGCGUUGAUAUCGAUAGGAACUCCGGUGGCGAAGGCGGCAUACUGGACCACCACUGACGCUGAGGCGCGAAAGCUAGGGGAGCAAACGGG
rnacentral:rRNA from 1 species